CGUAAAGGGUCUGUAGGUGGUUUGUUAAGUCAGAUGUGAAAGCCCAGGGCUCCACCCUUGGAACUGCAUUUGAUACUGGCAAACUAGAGUAUGGUAGAGGAAUGGGGAAUUUCUGGUGUAGCGGUGAAAUGCGUAGAGAUCAGAAGGAACACCAAUGGCGAAGGCAACAUUCUGGACCAAUACUGACACUGAGGGACGAAAGCGUGGGGAUCAAACAGGAUUAGAUACCCUGGUAGUCCACGCUGUAAACGAUGAGUACUAGCUGUUGGAUUCGGUGUAAAGGAUCUAGUGGCGUAGCUAACGCGUUAAGUACUCCGCCUGGGGACUACGGCCGCAAGGCUAAAACUCAAAGGAAUUGACGGGGACCCGCACAAGCGGUGGAGCAUGUGGUUUAAUUCGAUGCAACGCGAAGAACCUUACCUGGUCUUGACAUCCUGCGAACUUUCUAGAGAUAGAUUGGUGCCUUCGGGAACGCAGUGACAGGUGCUGCACGGCUGUCGUCAGCUCGUGUUGUGAAAUGUUGGGUUAAGUCCCGCAACGAGCGCAACCCCUAUUGAUAGUUACCAUCAUUAAGUUGGGUACUCUAUUGAGACUGCCGCUGACAAGGCGGAGGAAGGUGGGGACGACGUCAAGUCAUCAUGGCCCUUACGACCAGGGCUACACACGUGCUACAAUGGGUAUUACAGAGGGCAGCGAAGUAGCGAUAUGGAGCGAAACUCAGAAAGGUACUCUUAGUCCGGAUUGCGGUCUGCAACUCGACUGCAUGAAGUCGGAAUCGCUAGUAAUCGCAGGUCAGAAUACUGCGGUGAAUACGUUCCCGGGUCUUGUACACACCGCCCGUCACACCAUGGGAGUGGGUUGCUCCAGAAGUAGAUAGCUUAA
rnacentral:rRNA from 1 species